GAGACACCCUUAUGGAGCAGAACUUGCUUCAGUGGGGCUUUGGUGCUCACUGAGGCUGCCCCUUGAGUGUGUCGCU
rfam:Myotis brandtii contig286115, whole genome shotgun sequence.